rnacentral:tRNA from 1 species
GUUUAUAUAGUUUAAAAUAAAACUUUACAUUUUCAUUGUAAAAAUAAAAUA